AAUUCUCCAACUGGUGAGGAUUGAGGAGGACCUGAGUUCACUCAAAUAGCUCUUUCAGCACUAUAAAUACCCUAGAGAUCAAAGAGAUUUUAGCAUCUUGCUUCCCUCUAUUGCUUAUCGAUCUGCCAUUAAUUCGAUCCCUCCCUUUCUCUGCCUACCUCUCUCUCUCCAUGGCUCAAACACAGUUACUCCUUGCUACUCUUUUCAUUGUACUGACUCUCUCCCUUGAGAUUGCAUCCACAGAGGGGAGGCAUUUGAAAUUCGAAAAGAAAGAUGAUGUCCCAAAACACAACUCCCACUCCAAAGUCUAUGAAAAAGAGCCAAAACAGAUUGUUAGUAAGAGCGUAAAUAAAACAGCAUAUGCCAAUGAAGCUGUGCCAUCAGCACCUAUGACACCAAUGCCACCAAGUCAGGCUUUAGGCAAGCCACCACCACCACCACCAGCUCACGCGGUUGAUUUUAGACCCACAACACCAGGCCACAGCCCAGGAGUAGGACAUUCCAUUCAAAACUAGAGCCAGGGAAACCUUGUUUGUAAACAUGCCC
rnacentral:lncRNA from 1 species